ACUGGUGGAGACAGGUGAGGACUGGUGGAGACAGGUGAGGACAGGUGGAGACAGGUGAGGACUGGUGGAGACAAUAGAGGACUGGUGGAGACAGGUAGAGACUGGUGGAGACAAUAGAGGACUGGUGGAGACAGGUGAGGACUGGUGGAGACAGGUAGAGACAGGUGGAGACUGGUGGAGACAAUAGAGGACUGGUGGAGACAGGUGAGGACUGGUGGAGACAGGUGAGGACAGGUGGAGACAAUAGAGGACUGGUGGAGACAGGUGAGGACAGGUGGAGACAAUAGAGGACUGGUGGAAACUGGUGAGGACUGGUAGAGACAGGUGAGGACUGGUGGAGACAGGUGAGGACUGGUGGAGACAGGUGAGGACAGGUGGAGACAGGUGAGGACUGGUGGAGACAAUAGAGGACUGG